GAAUUUAUUUAAUUUAGAGUUAAACAUUAUCGUGUCUAAGUAAAGGUGUUAUUAUUAUAAUUAUUAUUAUUCUGGCUUCUUAUGCUUGUAUUCACGGUUUCUGGCUUCAUUGUCUAGCAUUGUUCGUUGCAAAUAAAAAGAAGAGAUACGUAUGAUGCACGAUCCUCGCAGUAGAGAGCGAAAAAGAAGAAAGUUUCUUCUUUGUUACUUUUAUAAAAACGAGAGAUCAAUACAGUAUUCAACAAAUUGAAGUUCUUGACAGAAUAGAUCUACGUUUUUACCCGCGAAUUGCUCGGCGUGUUCACUGUUACUCUGGCGACGGUCCAAAGUCUGAAUCUCAAUCAUGGAGGGGAGGGGGAGGGUAUGAGGUCCAAAUCAAAAUGGAAAUUUUCCGGGGGGUCAAAUCGGCGAAUUCGGUGGGGAAUGUGCUGGUCUCUAGAUUUGAGGUCUCCAGAGGUUGGCAACUCCACAGUUGUUUCCUUACCUUCAGAACAGCCAUCGACGUGAACAAAAACCAUUACAAAACCUACCAGAGUGCUAAUCAAACAGCUUACAGUCAGGGCCCUGUGAACCUUAAAGAAAGAGGUGGAUUAAAAAACGACAAAAAUGAAAAGAAGUUGUCCACGAGCCUGACUUCUUAAUGAUAGCUGGGUAUUUUUGUGUCAGUCACAACACAUGCUGUGCGGAUAUCACGGUAUAAUUAUAAAUAAUUAUUUACCCUCAGCUAGGUAGGUUUACCCAAUCACUAUGGAACGAGAGAAUCUGCUUUUGAAUGUCCCUCCCUAAUCGAUUAUCUUAUGGCAACUUAACCACCUCCAUUAUUCCCUUCAUAAAACUAAAUUUGAUUGUCAGGUGAAUGUUAGCGAACACUUCAUCGAAGCAGACUACAUCACUAAAGAAUGGAUGGUAAAGUUUUCUCAGUUUUUUAACAUCUGUUGAUACCCAGCAUGACCUGAAAAACAUUUAUUAGUUGAUUAUUUGUAGCUUCCUUGAAGUUGCAAAGGGCCAUUGCAGUUAUGGGGCUAUCUUGUCAAAUGAAUGCUAAAUGUUCAUUGUCAUCAUAACACAGUUUCAGUCCUCUAUGAAGGAGUACAGCGCAUGUCUGGCAGCAAGAGGGGUAAUAUUUAACAGCAGAGCAGGGGGGACCUCAUCAAGCUCCAGUGGGCCAGGGAGAGGAUGGAGACCACUUCAUAAACUACAGUUGUUUGAGGUCAACAAGAAGAUUACCACUGUCCAUCACUAGUUCUGCAAACAGAGGUUCUUCCAUACUUGGCCAUUACUGAUGUUCCCCUGAGAACACCAGGACAAAUUUCCUUUUUGCAAGCUAUCAGCAAUUUCAGAAAAUCCAAGCAAUCAUUCAGAGGAAGCACAGAUACACUUGAAGAAAAAGACUGUGGUAUGAACAGUGAUAAUGAUGACGACAUCCUUGCUAGUUCCCAACCAAGGGGGAAUACAAUCCAGGGAGCUAACAAGUGCCUGGUCAUGGGUGAAGAGUGUGAUUCACAAGGAACCUCUCAGAUGCUUCAGGAUGAUGAUAAUGCAAUAGAGGAUUUUGAUGAUGAAGACUGAGGUGUG